CCUACGGGAGGCAGCAGUAGGGAAUUUUCGGCAAUGGGGGAAACCCUGACCGAGCAACGCCGCGUGAAGGAAGAAGUAAUUCGUUAUGUAAACUUCUGUCAUAGAGGAAGAACGGUGGAUAUAGGGAAUGAUAUCCAAGUGACGGUACUCUAUAAGAAAGCCACGGCUAACUACGUGCCAGCAGCCGCGGUAAUACGUAGGUGGCGAGCGUUAUCCGGAAUUAUUGGGCGUAAAGAGGGAGCAGGCGGCACUAAGGGUCUGUGGUGAAAGAUCGAAGCUUAACUUCGGUAAGCCAUGGAAACCGUAGAGCUAGAGUGUGUGAGAGGAUCGUGGAAUUCCAUGUGUAGCGGUGAAAUGCGUAGAUAUAUGGAGGAACACCAGUGGCGAAGGCGACGAUCUGGCGCAUAACUGACGCUCAGUCCCGAAAGCGUGGGGAGCA
rnacentral:rRNA from 1 species